AACGCACGAGGCUAUCAAUUGGGCAUUUCUAUAUUAGUGAUGGGUCGUUUCCCUUUUUCAAUUAAGGCCAAAUAUUUUGUGUAUGUGUCUUCGAGUCAGUCUUGACUCCUGGUGACUGCCUGGAAAAGCCCCUGGGUUUACUUGGCAGGACUUCAGAAGUGGUUUGCCAUUGCCUGCUUUUUAAGGUUGAGAGAGAGUGACUAGCCCAUAGUCAUUCUGCUGGUUUCAUGCCUGAGUUGGGAUUAGAACUCAUGGUCUCCCAGGGUCCAGCCUGCUACCUUAUCUCUAUGACAAACUAAGUGCAAACUCCCUGUCCUCAGUCGGAGACAUAUACAGGCUCUUUGCUGUACUGUAUCCUAUAUUUCCUUUACAUUCCAAUUGGCUGAUUCUGGGUAACAAAGCUGGGCAGAUGUUUUUGAAGACUGCUAUGAAAUAAUGCUGAAAUAAGGAAGAUAUUAUUUUAACACUGGUUCAUCUAAAGAUGAGGUCAGCCACCUCAUUCCUGGACUGGGAAUGAGAUGAAGGCAGCAUCAUAGAAACAGCAAAAAAGUUAUUUACCAGAUUAUCAGGAAGGAAGAAAGGAAGGAAGGAAGGAAGGAAGGAAGAUAAUGAAUGAAUUUGCUGCUAUUUUGAUGAAGUCAUAAUAAUAUUUUGUAAAGGGAAAAAAGCUUGAUUGUCUUAAUGGUUGUGAAUGUCAGUUUUUAAUAGUUCUGUUAAAACAAAAUGCAUAUACCAUUAUGUAGCAAACAUUAUAUUUAACAAUGUUUGCUUUAAUUCUGUGUUGUAAUAUUUCUCCAUUAUGCUGAUUAAUAAAAUUCCAUUAAUGAAUUAUAAACAUAAUAUUGACAUAUUAAAAUUGCUUUCUAUAAACUGUAGUGAACAGGCAGAAUUACAAAGUUAGCAUGUUUUUAUCCAAAUAUACAAAGCCCUCAAAUGUAACAGAAGCUAUUGUUUUCCAUAUGACUUAAACAGUUAUAGAAAAUAUUUGUACAAUUAUCACUACAUAUAACCAAUGUUGGCUUUGGUCUAGAAUUAUUGAGAUAUUGUUUUGCAAAGUCUCAUAAAGUACUUAUUUUAAACAGUUCGUAAUAUAAUUUUAUAAGUGAUAGACUUUGAUAUGCAGAAAUGUUUUAUGUAUAUAAUUAGAACUUUUUCAGUGCUUAUAUCGUGAGAGCUACUUUAGUCACGUGCACAAUAACAUUAGACAAGUUCAGAAUAAAUAUGUUAUCACAUUUAUAAGUAUUUGUGUUAUAUAAUGUGGAAAUGUGAGCAUAAAAGGCCAAAAUUAGAUGUGCCAAAUAGAAUGUUCUUUAAACGAUACUUUUCCUAUAAUAAAAUGUGGAGUGCAGUUUUCUACAUUCUCAAACUGUUAAAAAUGUGGAUAUGUUUUACAGAGAAAACUUAAUUAAAGGACCACUAUUUAGAGGAUUUUAGAUGCAAUAGACCACAUUAUGGUCCUAACAUUCUCCAGAAUAGCAAGACAAGUCAACUGUAUUCAAAAUAGUCUGAGUGAGACAAAGUUAUAUCAAUUUUUCAUCAUUUGUGACCACUUAUAUAAUUUGUCUUAUAUUUUAUGCAAAAUUAUGUGGAUUAGUUGCUGUGAAUAAUUAAUUAGUGAUUUAAUGGACAUGGUAUUGGGCAUCCAUCCCCUCUAGUUGGUACAUUAAAUUUGAGCUUCACUGUAAUUUUCAUUGACUAAGUGUUCUCUUUUAUUUAGGCAUCAACAUGCCUAAUAAAGUAUCUCAUUCAGAAUAGUUUUCUUUAAAACUUUGCUUUUCCCCCCAUAUCAGUUUGAUUGUAUUUUUCUUUUAUUAAUAUAUGUCAAUCAUUUAGUUUGAUCAACACAAAUGAACAUAUAGUUGAUCGAUAAAGCUUGGAGAUAUCUUUAUUUGAAGAAUGUUAAUUUCAGAUGAAAAAACUCCCACACCCCUCUCCAAGAAAGGAAGGAAGGAAGGAAGAGAAAGAAGGAAAGAAAAAAAGAAAAAGAAAAAAAAAUAACCAAAACCUUGUAGAUAUAGUUGAUUAAACUUUCUGGUUGGUAGAAAGUUGUUGAAUAGAGGAUGCAACCCAAAACACUAAUAAUGCAUUAGAUUAAGAGAGUUACAGCUACUGUAUAAAAGGAUGAUCUCUUCAGAUAAGAAUAUUCUUUUUUCAAUUUGACAUUUAUAUAGCCUGUUGGGUAGAGAAUCUGUUGGUAUAAUGCAGAUAAUUCAGACCCUCUUUAGACAUAGCUAAGAAAUAUCAGCAGAGGAGAUGGUAACACGAACCUCUGUACAAAAAGAUUACAGAAGAACCAUCUUAUGCAGAAUUAUCAAAAUUUCUAAGAAGGUUUGAUCCAUUUCUGGGUAAUGAUGCAUUUUUACAACAGUCCUAAUUUUAAACAGUAAAAUAAUCGGUAUAUUGGUUACAUUAUUAUUAUUGAAUAUAUUACUAGGAGAGAAAGAGGGUGCUCACUGCACAGUGCCCAUUAAAUAUG